rnacentral:tRNA from 1 species
GCCCGGGUGGCGGAACUGGCAUACGCGCAUCGCUUAAAACGAUGUGCCGCAAGGCUUGUGGGUUCAAAUCCCACCCCGGGCACCA